UCUUUUUGCGUGUUAUAUGACGCAUUGUAUCGCGUUCCGAGUGGCAAAAUGCGUGUAAUUGCGUGAAAUGCGGUUCUCGGGAGAUGAGAAAUGUACGUCAUCAACCCGAGAGCAGCGCUAAGACGAGACUGGAAGCUAGAGUGAUGCAGCUCGUUGUCGGUUUCGCUGCUUUGCUCGGUAGCGUGCCGUGGAAUUAAAUCCUUGGCUUGCUUCAUAUUUAAUUUGUCGGGACUUGUAAUUGCGUGAAAUGUGGUUCUCAGGGGAUGAGAGACAUACGUCAUCGACCGAGAACAGCGCUAAGACGAGACUGGAAGCUAGAGUAAUGCAGCUUGUUGUUGGUUUCGCUGCUUUGUUCGGUAGUAUGACGUGGAGCUAAAUCCUAGGGCAUCGUUAUGCUAGCUUAUCGGAGUCCUUGGUGAGCUCAUAUUUAACGUGCCGGGACUUGUAAUAAUUGGCACACAUACUAGGGAAAUAUACCUGGAAAUCAUGAUUUAAAUAUGUAUUAUGUUGUCGGGUGUGGUCGUCAUGUGGAGCUCAUGAGCUCUCUUUUCGACACGUAAACCUGGGAAAGAAACAUGAGAGCUGACGUAAUCAAGUGCUGUCAACUGCUGUCGCGCUAGGUUUUAUGUGAUUGGUGUGGUUUACGCGAAAAAUGCACGGUACAAAUAC
rnacentral:lncRNA from 1 species